GGAUGCGAUCAUACCAGCACUAAAGCACCGGUUUCCAUUAGAACUCCGAAGUUAAGCGUGCUUGGGCGAUAGUAGUACUAGGAUGGAUGACCACCUGGGAAGUCCUCGUGUUGCAUCCC
rnacentral:rRNA from 1 species